UUAUCCGUGCCAAAGAUGGGCAUACCGGCUGUUAGAACCGUAAAUGAUGCAGAAAUGAGUCAUAGUACAGUGGAUUCUGCAGCAGGAGCUGCAGCUGUUCUGAGGGAGGAAUUAGCAUCUGCAGUCAAUAGGCAGCAGCAACAUCCACCUGCUGCUUCCACUGCUGGUACCACUUCUGAAGUUCACCACACGGCAGAUGUUGCGGGUCCUGCUGCAGAACUGAGCGGAACAGAGAUGAUCAUAGCAAGUCUUCUAGCAGGGGCAACAGCUGGAGCAGCUGCUAAAACAACAAUAGCACCACUUGAUAGGACCAAAAUUAAUUUUCAGAUAUCUGAGAAGCCAUAUUCAGUCAAAGAGGCUAUAAAGUUCUUGAAGCGAACUUACAAGAAUGAGGGAGCACUCAGUUUAUGGCGUGGAAAUUCUGCCACUAUGGCCCGAAUAGUACCUUAUGCUGCAAUCCAGUUUACUGCACAUGAACAAUGGAAAAAAAUACUUAAAAUAGAUGUUGACAAGGACAAAAAACCUCCACCAGUUGUGAGACUGCUAGCUGGAUCACUAGCAGGUGUGACAUCUCAGUCCUUGACCUAUCCACUUGAUCUGGCUAGAGCACGUAUGGCUGUAACGCACAAGGAACAAUAUCGCACUUUAAGGCAGGUGUUUGUCAAGAUUUGGACUGAAGAAGGCCCAAGGACAUUUUAUCGUGGUUAUGUGCCAACAAUAAUGGGAGUCAUCCCAUAUGCUGGUGUGAGUUUCUUCACGUAUGAUUCCUUAAAAAGGAAAUACAUGGAGUAUACAGGCAGCUCCAGUCCUAAUGCCAUAGCAAGCUUGUUGUUUGGUGCAGUUGCUGGAAUGCUGGGUCAGUCAUCUUCAUAUCCACUCGACAUUGUUCGGAGAAGAAUGCAGACGUCUUCAUUAACUAAUACUCAGUAUCAAACAAUUUUGGGAACACUCCAAAAAAUAUACAGGGAAGAGGGAAUACGCCAGGGUUUUUUCAAGGGGUUAAGUAUGAACUGGAUCAAAGGACCUGUUGCUGUAGGAAUAAGUUUCGCUACCUACGAUUCAGCAAAAGAUUUUCUGAAGCAAUUAUUGCUAAUUAGACAUAGAUGAAACAUUAAAACUUGGAUGACAAGCAGUAGCUUGUACACCACUAGAGGAACCAGCCCUAACAGGUACCUCAUCACAGGUCUGUGCAAUAAUUUUUUUUUUGAGUGUUAUUUACUUUUUCCCUGUCUAAUUCUUCUAACAAACUCACAGCCAACAUCUGUGUAUCAUGUCUGGUAGAAGAUAAUAAACUCUAGAACAGUUCUAUUGGUUUAUAUCUUAAUAUGCAAUGGUAUACAACAACCGUCUGAAACACAUUUGAUGUACCACUAGACUGGUCUGCUAUAAUGCCUAAAAAUUCUGAUUCCAUUCUUUGUGAUGAAAUUUCUUCUUGGUAUUCCUCCAACAUAAUUUGCAAAAGUUCAUUUUGUUUUGGAUGCUCCUUUGAAAACAGAUGCCUUAUCCAAAUGGUCUUUAUACUGCAUCCAUUUUAGUGCUAAAAUUAAUCUGUUCUCUGAAAAAUCCAGGGUUUGAUGACAAUUCAGUUUUAUCAUGAUCCCAUAAGGCCAAUUCAAACAAACCACAGAGAUGAAUAAAAUUGAAACUUCCUGGCAGAUUAAAACUGUGUGUCCGACCGAGACUCGAACUUGGGACCUUUGCCUUUCGCAGGCAAGUGCUCUACCAACUGAGCUACCGAAGCACGACUCACGCCUGGUACUCACAGCUUUACUUCUGCCAGUACCUCGUCUCCUAUCUUCCAAACUUUACACAAGCUCUCCUGCGAACCUUGCAGAACUAGCACUCCUGAAAGAAAGGAUAUUGCGGAGACAUGGCUUAGCCACAGCCUGGGGGACGUUUCCAGAAUGAGAUUUUCACUCUGCAGUGGAGUGUGCGCUGAUAUGAAACUUCCUGGCAGAUUAAAACUGUGUGCCCGACCGAGACUCGAACAAAAUUAUUGUCGUUGUUGUUGAUACAUUAGUAUUGGUAAUAUUGUGGUGAUAGAAUGGCAUACUCUAGUGGCUUGGGAUACCAGAUUCAUGGUACAGGAACAGAGAAAGCUGGGAGAAAUGUUCUCUCUAGAGUGGUGAUAUGUGACAAGAUAUUGGGAUCUGCUUCUAGUUGGGGUGUUUGAAUGCCAACUGCUGCACCCUACUACAUCACUGGUGAGCACUUUAGCUGGGCUUUGACUCAUCCAUGCUCGAAGUACAAUGGGCUGCACUGUCCAGCUGGGAGUUGUUGUAAGAGUGUAAAUCCCUUUGAGUUUGUUCCAAGCUCAGCAGUGGCACAAGGCAGUAGGAAACACAUAGCUGAUUAUAACAUAUUUCACAGUAUAUAUUAGGGUUCCUAAACAAAAAAAAGUAAGAACAGGGGACAGAUGAAGUGUAAAAUUACUGGGAAUUGUGCAACAUUGCAAUGAUAUCACACACUGCCAUAAUUGAUGUCACAAAAACUGAUUUCCUGUUCUUAUCUUGGAGCUCUUGUCAUAGUCUGAAAAGUUUUGGAUACAAUAAUGUGUGUUAUAUUUUGAAAGCAUUGCCUUCUAGAUGGCUUACUAUAUCCUAUUACUGAUGCUAUAUUGAAAAUUCACUCGUGAGAUUAAGAAUUCUGAGAGAACUGGUGGUGAGGUGAAGACUCUCCUUUACUAGAAUAAUGCUGAUGCCACUACACUGGAAGGACUUAAGUGCCUGUGAUUUGGCAAUGGAUAAGUCAGUAUAGAAUUGACAGUUCCUGAAAGCUAUUCUGGAUGUAAGAUGUUCUAAAAUUUGUGCAAAGGCAAGGCAGUAGUGAUUCAAUGAAUUAGUACCUUGGAUGAAACUAUUCUAAUCAUGGCUCAGUGUCAAGUUUACUAUCUGAAAGAUUUGAAGGUGGAGUAAAAUUCUGUGUAAAAAGGGUAAGGCUCUUUUUCUUUUUUUUUUUUUUUGAAUAAAUUAACAGAAUUUUCAAAACGGAUAGAUUUCUUUUCUCAUUUCUCUUAAACAAUGAGAAUUGUGUCCUCCAUUAAUGAGCUACAAUACUGAUAAUACAAAUUGAAGAAAUAUAAUAAUAAAUAUAUACAGAAGCCCUGGAAGUUAAUAUUUCAAAUCACAAUUGAAAUAAUCUAUUGUAGGGGAUCAUACAGGAAAAAUAAUUUUUUAAUAUUUAAUCACUUGUUAUUUUUUUUUCCUUAAACUUGCUCAUAAAAUGACCUUUAUCCAGUGAACUAAUAAGGAAAGUUGUGCCAGUAUGCAAAUAAUUUAUGAGUGAAGAACACUUACCAAGUAGCAGAGUUAUUGAGUUGUCACAGGCACACACACAAAAGAGAGAGAAAACUUUCUAACUUUCAGAAAUAAUCAUUUGCUGAGCUUUUAUUCGAUAAGUUAGCAAUUUCUCUCUUUUUGUGUGUGUCUGUCAAUGAAUCAAUGGUUCUGUUAUUGAAUGAGUGGUCUCCUUUACUCUUUAGUUAUUUACAUAUUUACAAUGAAAUACGUACAUGUUUGAAAGUAAUGUUUCCAUUUACAAUCCAUUGCAUGUGUCUCUGUUCCCGGUGCUCUAAUUAUUUUAGCUUUCUGUUAAGAUUUUAAUACUUUCAUUUACAUAAUUUAUAAGACGCUGUAGUCUCAGAAGUUGUUUAUUACCUGUUUUAGUGUGUAUAAGUAAACUGAUUGGCAGGCCAUCCGUAAACACCUUGUGGGGGAAAAUGUGACCUACAUGCAGUACAUUGCUGAUCCCUGUGUUAAGAUGCUGUGUUGAGGCCUGAAUAUUUUUACAGCUGUAAACACAUAGAUAGCAAAUAUUGCUCUAUGCUGGUUCAUAACAGACUAAAACUGUGCAUGAAAAUGUUUGAUAUGCUUCUGACAGUUUUUUCUUGCUGCAUGCAAAGGUCACAAAACACAGGCACACUAGUCUUGAGAGUUGUGCCAUUAUAAGAUAAAUUAUGAAGGGAGAAAAUGCUGGGAGUUUCAGAAAUGUUAAUAGCCAUGGAACUAACAUGCUCUGAAAUCAUGCUUACAGUAUCAUUCAUGGGAAUAUAAUCAAACUGAAACAUAAAAGUAAUUGAAAGUGACAGUUUCCAUUGUCUCAAAGUAUUUCUAUCAACUUGCUGUGAAGGUGAAGGAAAUUGUGUCAGUGCCUGAAACAAACCAAAUGUAUAUUAUUGUUAUAGUAUUUUGUAUAUUAAUUUUGUUGAUUUUUAUAAAAGUCUACUGUUAAAUGUCAAUUAAACUGAACGUCUAAUGCAGAAAAAAGAUCCCACAAAA